rnacentral:rRNA from 1 species
GAUGAACGCUGGCGGCGUGCCUAAUACAUGCAAGUCGAGCGAACGGACGAGAAGCUUGCUUCUCUGAUGUUAGCGGCGGACGGGUGAGUAACACGUGGAUAACCUACCUAUAAGACUGGGAUAACUUCGGGAAACCGGGGCUAAUACCGGAUAAUAUUUUGAACCGCAUGGUUCAAAAGUGAAAGACGGUCUUGCUGUCACUUAUAGGUGGAUCCGCGCUGCAUUAGCUAGUUGGUAAGGUAACGGCUUACCAAGGCAACGAUGCAUAGCCGACCUGAGAGGGUGAUCGGCCACACUGGAACUGAGACACGGUCCAGACUCCUACGGGAGGCAGCAGUAGGGAAUCUUCCGCAAUGGGCGAAAGCCUGACGGAGCAACGCCGAGUGAGUGAUGAAGGUCUUCGGAUCGUAAAACUCUGUUAUUAGGGAAGAACAUAUGUGUAAGUAACUGUGCACAUCUUGACGGUACCUAAUCAGAAAGCCACGGCUAACUACGUG